rnacentral:rRNA from 1 species
UACGUAGGUGGCAAGCGUUGUCCGGAAUUAUUGGGCAUAAAGCGCGCGCAGGCGGUUUCUUAAGUCUGAUGUGAAAGCCCCCGGCUCAACCGGGGAGGGUCAUUGGAAACUGGGAAACUUGAGUGCAGAAGAGGAAAGUGGAAUUCCAAGUGUAGCGGUGAAAUGCGUAGAGAUUUGGAGGAACACCAGUGGCGAAGGCGGCAUCCUGGACCGACAUUGACGCUGAUGAGCGAAAGCUAGGGGAGCAAACGGG